GGAACCAUAUAACCCCCUGACCACCUGCUGGUCUUGGAUCCUGCAUCUUAUACAAAACUCCGGUCAUCUCUCCCAAAUUAAAGAAUAAAACUAUCCCACUAAGAGGAGCCUUCACCUGGAAAAGACAUAAGGAACCAUAUAACCCCCUGACCACCUGCUGGUCUUGGAUCCUGCAUCUUAUACAAAACUCCGGUCAUCUCUCCCAAAUUAAAGAAUAAAACUAUCCCACUAAGAGGAGCCUUCACCUGGAAAAGACAUAAGGAACCAUAUAACCCCCUGACCACCUGCUGGUCUUGGAUCCUGCAUCUUAUACAAAACUCCGGUCAUCUCUCCCAAAUUAAAGAAUAAAACUAUCCCACUAAGAGGAGCCUUCACCUGGAAAAGACAUAAGGAACCAUAUAACCCCCUGACCACCUGCUGGUCUUGGAUCCUGCAUCUUAUACAAAACUCCGGUCAUCUCUCCCAAAUUAAAGAAUAAAACUAUCCCACUAAGAGGAGCCUUCACCUGGAAAAGACAUAAGGAAGUAUGUCCUAGAGCUCCUGCUGAAUUUAAAUACCUACUUGUAUACUUCUUUCCCAGUGAUAUUGUAAAACCCAAAGGCAGCCUAGCCAGUAGCCUGCAACCAAACCCCCUCCCUCCUCAACCAACUGAUCACAUAAUCCCUGUAAUAUCCCUAGCAGCUUGCCCCACGCUUGAACCCCCAGGCCCUGUAAACAGCAUUGAUAGAAGUACCUGCUGUGGCUACUAGGUGGCCCCCAUCUAUUAGGGGCUUUCUCUUCCUUUUCCUCUGUAAACUGCUUACACCUAACAAAUUC